rnacentral:rRNA from 1 species
UAAGACCUGGCGUUAAUGGAGCGNGCCGAUAUCUGAUUAGCUAGUUGGUGGGGUAAAGGCCUNACCAAGGCGACGAUCAGUAGCUGGUCUGAGAGGACGACCAGCCACACUGGAACUGAGACACGGUCCAGACUCCUACGGGAGGCAGCAGUGGGGAAUUUUGGACAAUGGGGGCAACCCUGAUCCAGCCAUUCCGCGUGAGUGAAGAAGGCCUUCGGGUUGUAAAGCUCUUUCGCAAGGNGAAGAAAACNUUAUCCAAUAACACUGGAUGAGGCUGACGGUANNCCUUGAUAAGAAGCACCGGCUAACUACGUGCCAGCAGCCGCGGUAAUACGUAGGGUGCGAGCGUUAAUCGGAAUUACUGGGCGUAAAGCGUGCGCAGGCGGUUUUGNUAAGUCAGAUGUGAAAUCCCCGGGCUCAACCUGGGAACU